GAACUGCUUAGGCACAAGCUAAUUAAUCUACAAAUGAAGAAUACUCCAGCAUUAUUGUAUAAUUAGACAAUCUCAGGAGGAAACAAGAGAAUUGCCAGGAGGAGGCAGACAGUUUUGCAGGGCUCCAUGGCAUUUAUUUUUUCGUUGCUCAGGUAGAGGAGCAGAGACAGGGGGAGACACAGAAUCUGAAGCAGGCUCCAGGCUCCGAGCUGUCAGCACAGAGCCUGACGCAGGGCUUGAACUCACAAACUGUGAGAUCAUGACCUGAGCUGAAGUUGGAUGCUUAACCGACUGAGCCACCCAGGCGCCCCUAAAUAUAUUAUUUUUUAAAAGAUUGAAGUUACCCAAAUGAUGAGGAAUUGGAAAUGAAAACACAUGAAUAACCCAAAAUAUUGCCUUUAAUAUGAACUUUUUGGGCUAUUUUUUAAGACUUUGUUCCCCAUGAACAGUGAGUCUAUUUCAUGAUAUGUGGUGAGUCUAUUUCAUGAUAUGUGGUGACUGUACAUUCUUUUCUUCACCAGUGUACUCAUUUGCAAAAAUUAUUGCUGUGUGUGUGUGUGUGUGUGUGCGCACAUGCGUGUAUGUGUGUGUGCAUAUGUGGUGGGGGUAGAGAAUUGCUAUUUCUUUCAAACCUUGAUUUUCUGAGAGUUAAGGAUUUGAGAUAGCACAGAUUCUAAAUAUAUAUGGAGAAAGUGACAAAAUUUUGAAAUGGUUUUGGGAAACAAAUGUCUGUGGUCAUAAAAAUCAUUUAUUUGUAUAUUUAUAUGUUGGAUGUUGGACAUCCCUUUGGUGCAAUGAUGAAUACAGAUGAAGUGGAUGAUAUAUUUAUACAUUCUAGAACAAAUUAUUAAAAACAAGGACUAUUACUAAAAGCAAGUUACUAUUACUAGUAACAAAUGAUGGUCCUCAAUGUUCGCAUCUGUAUGUUGGGUUGGUGGGUAUGUAAUAUUAAAAUGUUUGCCCUCAGGGUGUCUGGGUGGCUCAGUUGGUUGAGCAUCCAACUUUGGCUGAGGUCAUGAUCUUGCAGUUCAUGAGUCCGAGCCCCACAUUGGGCUCCGUGCUGACAACUCAGAGCCUGGAACCUCCUUUGGAUUCUGUGUCUCCCUCUCUCUCUGCCUCUCCCCGACUUGUUCUCUCUCUCUCUCUGUCUCUCUCAAAGUUAAAUAAACAUUUAAAAAAUUUUUUUAAUGAUAAAAUAAAAUAUUUGACGUCUGUGGUCAAAUGGUUGUUUAUCAAAGUUUCCCUGAAGCACAAUCAAUUUUCUCAGCUUCGAGAAAUAGAGGGGUGUAACAAGUGAAUUCGGUUCGAUUGUCUGGUUUUCGUUGAUUUCAAAUGUGCUUGUAUUGAAUGCUAACCCUUCUUCAAUCCAGCAACUAGCUUGUAUAUGAAAAUUAAACGUUUGGGGGGGGAGUUUCUUCUAUUCAUUUUUAAACUUGUAGCUCAGCACUUAUUUGUAUUAAAUUUUCUUUCCCUCCUUCACUCACUUGCAGUAGAUUAAAGUGUUGAUCUUUUCUUUUUGAAAUCAUAGUUUGGUAAGUGGGUGUCUUUGCGAAUAGUAACUUAAUUUUCUCUCUGGGAGUCUGCAGUUUCCAACCUGCAGAGACAAACACAGAAACACCGUGCCACACAAGCAUUCUGAUAUGAAAUUUGGAAAACUGGGAAUGUUGAAAGAGCUAGGAAGCACAGAUUGCACUCCCUUUGGACAAAGGUAAACAGGAAACAUGCUUUUUUAUAAAGUCAGAGAUUAAAUGAGUUAGUAGAAGCAAGCCUAGACAUCCACAUAAGCCAGAGUCGAAAACUAUACACUAAAAUACAUCUGAUAAGCAAAGAGAAUGACCCUUUGCAAAAGCCCUCACUUUUUAUUUGAAUCAAGGAUUCUUCAUAAGUUCAGCAACCUGCAGGAUUUUAAAAAGAAAACUAAAAUCCUCAGAGCAGCAGGCUUCCAUCCAACACUUUUGUGAUUGUCAAAUGACCAGAUUUGAAACGGUCAUCAUCUCACACCUAGGGUUUCUUUUUUUUUAUGUAUGUUUUAAUUUGUGAGGCAUAUCCACAGACAAAAUGACUCGUGAGAAACAGAAUCCUCCAGUGCUCCCAAUUGGCCCUAUUUCCCUAUCAAGUCAAGAAGGUCAAUUUUGCCUUGGGAUUUUAGAGUGUCCUCAGGUAGCCCUUAAAUUUACACAGUGUUCAUCUCGCAGCUAUGAUCACUGGUUUCUUUUGAGAUGUACUUAAGCUUUUCUGGAAGUUGUUCAGGAAACUGGAAAAUCCUUUUCUACAAGGAAACUUUCUUCCUGGGCCUUCUUAUAACCUGAGAUGAUGACCCCUUUGGGUCACGCAACCCAUGGAUCCCACUCUGUGAGUCUGUUUUAUAAAGACAGUAUAGUAGAUGAUAUCUAUGAAAUACAUUUGGAAAGUGGGUAGGAGCUAAGAUAAUGUCUUUUGAGAGUCACUGGUGGCCUCUGAAAUUAUAAUUCACAGAAAGUCACUGCUAGCCAAGAUCUCUUUUGAGUGGAAACCAGAAAAGACAAUAUAAUAGAACUCAUCUCUUACGAAGCAAGUCUUGAUUCUCUUGGAGUUGCUAACACUAACGUCAUUGUCCUUUUUCCUCAAAGAUGGAAUGACACUGGUUAAAAACUAAAGGUCUAUUAAUUAGCAUUUCAGAUAUGCCCUAAAUCACUUGGAAGUAUAACAACAAUGGAACAGAAAAAGAAGAAUAGUAUCAACAACAGAGAAAUGCUGCCUAACAGAAUAUUAAACCCCUUUUAACAAGGAAAUCCAUAGCUA
rnacentral:lncRNA from 1 species